AGAGGCCCUGGCUGGCAGGCAGGGAGGCAGGUCUUCAAGGAACCACACUUUGCAAGCCUCCACAGGCCGGGCAGCCCCUCCAGGCUAAUUGUUGUGUGGCGAGGUCCAGGUUCAGCUGUGGGUCACCGGAGUGGAGUGGUGUCAACCCUGGGCAGCCCCUUUCCCCCACCCACUAAGACAUCCAUCGCACACCUUCACCUGUCAGCUUAGCGUAUGCUCAGUGCUGCAAGUUAAAGUACACACAAACACACAUGGCUCCAUCAUGGUCAGUGCUGUGUAAUCACUGCAGGGUCUUCUUGGAACCACUCAGGG